rnacentral:rRNA from 1 species
GAUGAACGCUGGCGGCGUGCCUAAUACAUGCAAGUCGAGCGAACGGACGAGAAGCUUGCUUCUCUGAUGUUAGCGGCGGACGGGUGAGUAACACGUGGAUAACCGACCUAUAAGACUGGGAUAACUUCGGGAAACCGGAUCUAAUACCGGAUGAUAUUUUGAACCGCAUGGUUCAAAAGUGAAAGACGGUCUUGCUGUCACUUAUAGAUGGAUCCGCGCUGCAUUAGCUAGUUGGUAAGGUAACGGCCUACCAAGGCAACGAUGCAUAGCCGACCUGAGAGGGUGAUCAGCCACACUGGAACUGAGACACGGUCCAGACUCCUACGGGAGGCAGCAGUAGGGAAUAUUGCGCAAUGGGCGAAAGCCUGACGGAGCAACGCCGCGUGAGUGAUGAAGGUCUUCGGAUCGUAAAACUCUGUUAUUAGGGAAGAACAUAUGUGUAAGUAACUGUGCACAUCUUGACGGUACCUAAACAGAAAGCCACGGCUAACUACGUG